UCGUGCAGCGGGGCCUUUUGGUCUAGACUGACCCCGUUAAUCUGUCUCCCUUUGCUACCGUUUCCCAGCAGCACUUGUCAAUGUAGGUGACUGGACCGGCGUGGGAACUUUGACCUGCUUUCCCCAGCGGAGCUCCCGAGUCGGGUGCCUGCCUCGAUCAAGUAUUCAUUUAACACAAGCUCCGGCGGAUAUCUGAGAAUCAGACUGCGCCAAAUCAGGCAUUCCCUUCUCCAAGUGUCACAUCUCACCCAUGAGCACAAAGGACUCCCUGUUCUGCAUUGCCAUACCUGGGUUUUCUUUGGAGGUCUCCCCUCCAAGCACUGAACUGCCCCAGCCCUGCUUAGCAGGUGAGAUCCCCACUCCAGGGGGACAGCCGGUUUCUGACAACAAAUCAGCUGAUGCCAUCCAGGGGCCUGCGUCACGCUCUUCUAGCAAUGUGCUAGCAGCUCUCUGCGAGGCAAGGACGUGCACAACGAGCAGUUUAAUAACGUGUCAAUGGGAAAAUAAUGACAUUUCUGGUCUGCGAAUAUCUUUCUAUUAAAAUAAUAAUAAUAAUUUUAAGGAAGGCGCCGAUGAAGCUGAUAUUAAACUUUGAGUCUGUGUGGACUCCUUGAGAGUGAGGAGACAGGCGCUAUAAAUUGCA